CAUAGGUUAAUGAGGCGAACCGGGGGAACUGAAACAUCUAAGUACCCCGAGGAAAAGAAAUCAACCGAGAUUCCCCCAGUAGCGGCGAGCGAACGGGGAGCAGCCCAGAGCCUGAAUCAGUGUGUGUGUUAGUGGAAGCGUCUGGAAAGGCGCGCGAUACAGGGUGACAGCCCCGUACACAAAAAUGCACAUACUGUGAGCUCGAUGAGUAGGGCGGGACACGUGGUAUCCUGUCUGAAUAUGGGGGGACCAUCCUCCAAGGCUAAAUACUCCUGACUGACCGAUAGUGAACCAGUACCGUGAGGGAAAGGCGAAAAGAACCCCGGCGAGGGGAGUGAAAAAGAACCUGAAACCGUGUACGUACAAGCAGUGGGAGCACGCUUAGGCGUGUGACUGCGUACCUUUUGUAUAAUGGGUCAGCGACUUAUAUUCUGUAGCAAGGUUAACCGAAUAGGGGAGCCGAAGGGAAACCGAGUCUUAACUGGGCGUUAAGUUGCAGGGUAUAGACCCGAAACCCGGUGAUCUAGCCAUGGGCAGGUUGAAGGUUGGGUAACACUAACUGGAGGACCGAACCGACUAAUGUUGAAAAAUUAGCGGAUGACUUGUGGCUGGGGGUGAAAGGCCAAUCAAACCGGGAGAUAGCUGGUUCUCCCCGAAAGCUAUUUAGGUAGCGCCUCGUGAAUUCAUCUCCGGGGGUAGAGCACUGUUUCGGCAAGGGGGUCAUCCCGACUUACCAACCCGAUGCAAACUGCGAAUACCGGAGAAUGUUAUCACGGGAGACACACGGCGGGUGCUAACGUCCGUCGUGAAGAGGGAAACAACCCAGACCGCCAGCUAAGGUCCCAAAGUCAUGGUUAAGUGGGAAACGAUGUGGGAAGGCCCAGACAGCCAGGAUGUUGGCUUAGAAGCAGCCAUCAUUUAAAGAAAGCGUAAUAGCUCACUGGUCGAGUCGGCCUGCGCGGAAGAUGUAACGGGGCUAAACCAUGCACCGAAGCUGCGGCAGCGACGCUGAUGCGUUGUUGGGUAGGGGAGCGUUCUGUAAGCCUGCGAAGGUGUGCUGUGAGGCAUGCUGGAGGUAUCAGAAGUGCGAAUGCUGACAUAAGUAACGAUAAAGCGGGUGAAAAGCCCGCUCGCCGGAAGACCAAGGGUUCCUGUCCAACGUUAAUCGGGGCAGGGUGAGUCGACCCCUAAGGCGAGGCCGAAAGGCGUAGUCGAUGGGAAACAGGUUAAUAUUCCUGUACUUGGUGUUACUGCGAAGGGGGGACGGAGAAGGCUAUGUUGGCCGGGCGACGGUUGUCCCGGUUUAAGCGUGUAGGCUGGUUUUCCAGGCAAAU
rnacentral:rRNA from 1 species